rnacentral:misc_RNA from 1 species
AAGACUUUUCGCUUCUCAUUGAUUCUGAGGCAAAGGCUGCACAAGAAAUCAUAUGUGAGAAAAAUUCAAUUUUAACAAGUUCUGCAGUAUAUCAUCUAUUUCCAGCUGGAUAUGUUCAUAAGAUAGCAAAAAGCUGACGGAUUCACAUGCUUCACUUGAAACAAGGUUUGUAGUUCAUGAUAACGAAACUGUCAUUUAGGUUUGAGAAAAUCUCCGCCCGAAAGCUUUACUGCUGUUACUGUGAGCUGCUGAGUAACCAUAAGUUGUGCCAAAUCAAAGAAUUAGCCAUUGUUCCAUGCAAUCAUCUCAAAAAAGUACCGUUAUGGAUGGGUCUCACAGUUGUUAUGAUCAAUCUAUACUAGAUCAGGGGUCCUAUUGCUGGCAUCUGAAUAAGAAUGUAGGCCAGUAUCCAUUUUCUGAUGAUGGCAACCAAGAGAUACAUCUUUCAGCUGAGACACUUGAACAGCACUGCACCCUUCUAUCUUCAUCUGGAACUGGUGGUUACUCUGUUCAGUCUACUACUAGUUUUUCCCCAAAUGAAAGUGCAAUUUCACAGCUAAAUUC